rnacentral:misc_RNA from 1 species
GCUGCUACCAGUCGUGUUCCAAUUGUAGGAUGUACCAUCUUUUGUUGAUGAUCAUUGAUUUGGUUCGAUAAAAAUGUUAUGUGAAGCAUGUCUAUAGUUGGUUUUUUCUCCUUCCAUCUAAUGGCCCAAUUUCUAUGAUCUUUUGUUUAUUGUUGAAUGUGAUGUGCUUUCAGAAGCCAUCAUUGAUAAUUCGAGUAAACUAACUAUGAUGUAAAAUAUGCCGCUGAUCAUUUUUAUAGAUAGCUGCAACAAUUCUCUGGUUGAGGUCCG